rnacentral:rRNA from 1 species
GUGAGGAAUAUUGGACAAUGGGCGCAAGCCUGAUCCAGCCAUGCCGCGUGCAGGAAGACGCAUCUAUGGUGUGUAAACUGCUUUUGUACGGGAAGAAACACUCCCUCGUGAGGGAGCUUGACGGUACCGUAAGAAUAAGGAUCGGCUAACUCCGUGCCAGCAGCCGCGGUAAUACGGAGGAUCCAAGCGUUAUCCGGAAUCAUUGGGUUUAAAGGGUCCGUAGGCGGUUUAAUAAGUCAGUGGGGAAAGCCCAUCGCUCAACGAUGGAACGGCCAUUGAUACUGUUAGACUUGAAUUACAAGGAAGUAACUAGAAUAUGUAGUGUAGCGGUGAAAUGCUUAGAUAUUACAUGGAAUACCAAUUGCGAAGGCAGGUUACUACUUGUGGAUUGACGCUGAUGGACGAAAGCGUGGGGAGCGAACAGGAUUAGAUACCCGGGUAGUCC